rnacentral:misc_RNA from 1 species
CAGAGAACAUCGCCCUCACGGGUGACUCUCCAACCCUUAUGUUAUUGUACCUUUGUUGCUUUGGCGAGACGCUUCGGCCACCGGCUCACGCUGGUGAGUGCUCGCCAGAGGACCCCAAACUCUGAAUUAUUAGUGUCGUCUGAGUACUAUAUAAUAGUUA